AGGGCUUCAAAGAAAUUUUUCCUUUACAAAUCCUAUCCUAUAAAAUUCCUAUGAAAUUUCUACAAACUAAAGGAGGCCUUAAGGGUGUUAGCAGAAUAGACCGACCCUAUAUAUAUAUAUAAGAUAGCACUAUUUUAAUCCCAAAAUUAGAAUAACUAUUUGGUCACAGGACCUUAUAUAUAGAGGGUCGAGGAGAUGUUCACGAAUUUGAGAAUCUGAACCGAGCCCACGAUAAAAAAAAAGAAAAUAACCAUCCUCCUGCCUCUCCAGCUCUCCUCCCCCGAGCACCUCAUCCCGCCACCGCCCUCGGAUCCCGCCACCGCGCGCCCACCCCAGAAACCCACACCCCCUCCCCGCGCCGCAGCGCGCCAUCCCCGAAUGCCCCCGCCGACGACCCUCCCAGACCGACGCGCCUCCCGCCGCAGCCCCCCCGAUGGGCCUCUCGCCGCCGCUAUCCAUCCCCGGACGGCACCGCCGACGGCCCUCCCGCCCCGACGCGCUUCUCGCCGCAGCUCUGCAUCCUCGGACGCCACCGCCGACGGCCCUCCCAGCUCCGAUGCACCUCUCGCCGCCGUCCCCCAGCCGGCGACCGCGUCCCCUGGCUCAGCUGCACUUGACUGGGAUCCCCCAUCUCCCAGCAAACCUUGCCGGUGGACGCCACCUCCCACCUCCUAGGGCGCUCCUCGUCCAGUCCACUCCACUGGUUUCGACGCCCCGCCGCGCCGACGAGAGCUACAACUCCAUGUGCUCCUCUCUCGUCCAAGUUCAUGCAACUCUGAUUUUCUUUGUGUUCUAUUGCAGGUUAGGCCCGGUGUGAACUUCGAACGGAUCAGUGGUUGGACCGGCUGUACCAAGGCGGCUGACUCCACCACGCACGCAUUUGUCUUGUUUGAUGUUCAAGUGUUCAGUUGUUGAAGUGAACUUGAAGAUUUGUUCUGAAUUUCUGGCACUUCAAACACUAAUGCGCAUGUCUGAAACUUUCUCUGUGCACUGCAGGGCGACAAGUGAUGCGGCGCACCAACCAGCAGCAGGCGGAUCCGGCCAUCGUGGAUACCGCACGCACACAUCCAUUCGCAGCUCAUGGGCGCCAUGGAUCCCGCGCGCAAGCAUCCUUCCACGUCAUUCCGCUGCUGCCUUACCACCAUGCGCCUCUGCCGAAACAUCCCGAUCCCCGCCGCCUCCCCCGCGUCACCGGUGACCCUUUGCGCUACCGCCUGGCGCGACCGACCUCCACGGCAGCAGAUGCUGUGGCUCCCUUCCUGGCAGCACCCGUGCGUCUCAUCGGACUGUCCUCUGCACAUCUAUGGCCGUUGGUCACCAUGCACCCCUACCCGAUGAUGUGGCCAAUGGUGUUGUAGCUACUAGGAAAGAGAGAAAUGCCAUGGAGGUAUCUAGUGUUGUGCAAUAUAAUCAAAAUAUGGUGAGGCACAAUAGCAUGAGUGCCAAGGAAUUGAAGGCGCUGACGCACGCAAUUGUACAAGCUUCAUCUAUACUCUAUAUUGGCUUCUUUGGUA